GAUGAACGCUAGCGGCAGGCCUAAUACAUGCAAGUCGAACGAGAAGCCCUUCGGGGUGGAAAGUGGCGCACGGGUGCGUAACGCGUAUGCAACUUACCUCUUACUGGGGAAUAACUUCGCGAAAGUGGAGCUAAUACCGCAUAAUAAACGCUGGGGCAUCCCAAUGUUUAAAAGGUACGUAGGAGAUGGGCAUGCGUCCAUUAGCUAGUUGGUAGGGUAAUGGCUUACCAAGGCGACGAUGGGUAGGGGAACUGAGAGGUUGAUCCCCCACACUGGUACUGAGAUACGGACCAGACUCCUACGGGAGCAGCAGUAAGGAUAUUGGUCAAUGGACGAGAGUCUGAACCAGCCAUGCCGCGUGCAGGAAGAAGGCGUUACGCGU
rnacentral:rRNA from 1 species